rnacentral:pre_miRNA from 11 species
GACCGCACGGGAUAAUUGAUUAUCCCGUGCGGUCGUGUUAUACGGACCGCACGGGAUAAUUGAUUAUCCCAUGCGGUC